rnacentral:rRNA from 1 species
GCGUGCGGGAAGAAGGCCUUCGGGUUGUAAACCGCUUUUGUCGGGGAAGAAACGGUCUGCGCUAAUACCGCGGGCUAAUGACGGUACCCGAAGAAUAAGCACCGGCUAACUACGUGCCAGCAGCCGCGGUAAUACGUAGGGUGCAAGCGUUAAUCGGAAUUACUGGGCGUAAAGCGUGCGCAGGCGGCUUUGCAAGACAGAUGUGAAAUCCCCGGGCUCAACCUGGGAACUGCAUUUGUGACUGCAUGGCUGGAGUGCGGCAGAGGGGGAUGGAAUUCCGCGUGUAGCAGUGAAAUGCGU